AACAGUGUAUCAUACAGCUGUUAAACACUGUUAUAAACAAUUUCAUGCAAAAUAGUACUCGAUUUGACAGCUGUCGACUGUGAUCACCCUUUUGCUUGAAGUGCAUCAGUAAACGAAUUUUCAUA